GCGAGUCAUUGUAGCAAUACAAGGCAGACGGCUCAGUAACGCGUAGUCAAUCUACCCUAUGGACGGGAAUAACCUCGGGAAACUGAGAAUAAUGCCCGACAGAACAUUAUACCUGGAACGGUUUAUGUUUCAAAUGAUUUAUCGCCGUAGGAUGGGACUGCGGCCUAUCAGUUUGUUGGUGAGGUAAUGGCCCACCAAGACUAUUACAGGUACGGGCUCUGAGAGGAGUAGCCCGGAGAUGGGUACUGAGACACGGACCCAGGCCCUAUGGGGCGCAGCAGGCGAGAAAACUUUGCAAUGUGCGAAAGCACGACAAGGUUAAUCCGAGUGGUUUCUGCUAAAGAAACCUUUUGCUAGUCCUAGAAACACUAGUGAAUAAGGGGUGGGCAAGUUCUGGUGUCAGCCGCCGCGGUAAAACCAGCACCUCAAGUGGUCAGGAUGAUUAUUGGGCCUAAAGCAUCCGUAGCUCGUUUUGUAAGUUUUCGGUUAAAUCCAUACGCUUAACGUAUGGGCUGCCGGGAAUACUGCAUAACUAGGAAGUGGGAGAGGUAGACGGUACUCGGUAGGAAGGGGUAAAAUCCUUUGAUCUAUUGAUGACCACCUGUGGCGAAGGCGGUCUACCAGAACACGUUCGACGGUGAGGGAUGAAAGCUGGGGGAGCAAACCGGAUUAGAUACCCGGGUAGUCCCAGCUGUAAACUAUGCAAACUCAGUGAUGCAUUGGCUUGUGGCCAAUGCAGUGCUGCAGGAAAGCCGUUAAGUUUGCCGCCUGGGAAGUACGUACGCAAGUAUGAACUUAAAGGAAUUGGCGGGGGAGCACCACAAGGGUGAAGCCUGCGGU
rnacentral:rRNA from 1 species